AUUGUUGUGUCCCCUUCUGUAGAUUCAGAAACUGAGGCUUCAGAGUGGCUAAUGCUGCUUUCUAAGGAAGAGAUGGAAGAGCUCUUGCCCCCUACAACACUGAUGAUUUUGCUAUACUAAAGCUUCCUCGAGGAUGACCUGAAAAUCCAUAAAGCAACAUUAUCAGAAAUUCUUCCCUAGCAGAAUGUUUCCUUAAUCUUCGUUUUCCUUUUUAUUUCAGCCUGGAGCUCCUCUUUCGCCAGAUGCCCAUGAGACUGCAGAGAGUUGAGUUCAAGCAAGUUGUCAUGCAUGGGAAAUGUGUAGCCAAAAAGAAUGACCCACAUUGCAAAGGUGGGCCAUUCAGGUGGAAAAGAAGCUGCCUCAAAAUGAAGUCCAUGUGCCAACUCACAAAAAGUUUGGAGCCCUGCAUCCCACUUAGGUGCAGAGUUUCUACCCAGCCUAAUUUCCUCCUAAAAUUAUGUACUGUAUUGGUUAGAGUUCUCCAGAGAAACACAACCACUAGGAUAUAUGCAGCCACGUAAGAGAAACAGUUUGCGUUUUGUGUGUAAACAUUAACAUUAUUAUGGGAAUUGACUUAUGCAAUUAUGGAGACCAAGAAGUUCACCAUCUGCUGUCUGAAAACAAGAGACCCAG
rnacentral:lncRNA from 1 species